rfam:Schistosoma curassoni strain Dakar, Senegal genome assembly, scaffold: SCTD_scaffold0004857
AUCCAGCAAACGAGUCCCAGAUAGGACGAAACGCACAUCCUGGAU